rnacentral:rRNA from 1 species
UACGUAGGUGACCAGCGUUUGUCCGGAUUUACUGGGCGUAAAGAGCGCGCAGGCGGUCGUUCAAGUCGAGUGUGAAAGCCCCCGGCUCAACUGGGGAGGGUCAUUCGAUACUGAUCGACUCGAAGGCAGGAGAGGGAAGCGGAAUUCCCGGUGUAGUGGUGAAAUGCGUAGAUAUCGGGAGGAACACCAGUGGCGAAGGCGCUUCCUGGCCUGUUCUUGACGC